AUCACAGGACAUAAAGAUCUGAGAGAGGAUGAACACUAUCAGGGUCGUGUGGACUAUACUGGAAAUAACAGCAAUAACCACACUUUGACCAUAAGGAACCUAAACCUUGAUGAUGCAAAAACAUAUACCUUCAGAUUUGUAACUGAUAAAGAAGAAAAGUUUUCGAAUGGACAUCUUAGACUCUUAGUUACAGAACUGCAAGUGUUGGUUAAUCCUGACACUGUAAAAGAGGGAGAUGAAGUGACUCUGACCUGCAACACCAUCUGCAGUCUGAGUAACAACCCCACCUACAUCUGGUACAGGAACUCACAGCCCAUUGAUAAUCCACACACAGCUGACAACAGGCUGUACAUACACUCAGCCAGCCCUGAAGAUGCAGGCAAAUACUCCUGUGCUGUUAAAGGACAUGAAAUCCACAGUUCACCUGAAAUGACUCAGGAUAUCAGAUAUGCUCCAAGAAACACCUCAGCAUCACUCAGUCUCUCUGGUGACCUUCAUGAGGGCGACUCAGUGACUCUGACCUGCAGCAGUGAUGCCAACCCACCAGCGCACACCUACACCUGGUACAGGAAGACCAGAGAUGAGACAGUUAUUCAGGACACAGGGAGGAUGCUGAGCUUCACUCUUAACCUUGUCCCUGGUGUGGACGAACUUUAUCACUGUGAGGCACAAAACGAGGUCGGCUCAGAGAACUCAACCGGAGUCAGGGUCUCCUGGCCAGAUCCUGGCUUGCCCAAAGAAAUCCUGUUUAUUGCUUUGGGGGGCAUCUUGGUUGUAGCUCUCUUGUUGGUGGUCAUUGUAUGCUGGAGG